rnacentral:rRNA from 1 species
AUGAACGCUGGCGGCGUGCCUAAUACAUGCAAGUCGAACGAUAGCCUCAUUUCGAUGGGGUGAAAGUGGCGGACGGGUGAGUAACACAUAGCUGACCUGCCCUUCAGCGGGGGACAACUGUUGGAAACGACAGCUAAUACCGCGUACGCUCAGAGGGAUUAGAAGCCUCUGAGGAGACUUACGGGGCUGAAGGAAGGGGCUGUGGCCCAUCAGGUAGUUGGUAGGGUAAGAGCCUACCAAGCCGACGACGGGUAGGGGGCCUGAGAGGGUGACCCCCCACACUGGAACUGAGAGACGGUCCAGACUCCUACGGGAGGCAGCAGUAAGGGAUAUUGCGCAAAUGGGCGAAAGCCUGACGCAGCAACGCCGCGUGUGGGAUGACGGCCUUCGGGUUGUAAACCACUUUUCGAGGGGAAGAGAGAGGACGGUACCCUCGGAAGAAGUCUCGGCUAACUACGU